ensembl:lncRNA
GUUCCCUUGGGUUCUAUAACUAGCCACCAGAGACAGGAGAUCAGCGCUGCUCCUUCAUUCCAACUUAUACAAAUUGUUGAUAUCCAUGAUUGUGACAUAUAAGGAGAAUCUUCAAGGAUUAGACAUUGUCUUGCUGUCUUUGAAAGAUACAGAAUUACAUGGGACUCUGAUUGUAAUCAUCUGUUAAAAAGACAUGUCAAGGGAAUCAGCUUUCUCCAAGAAAGAAGACUGGAUAUGACAUGAAACAUUUUGCAACAGCUAUUUUCAUCACUGAUAAUAUCUCAGAUUCUGAAUACUACUUAGGAGGGAAAGGAGCUCCUGAUUAAAAAAAAAAAUGGACAAAGACAAUAUUCAACAUUUCUGAAUGGUUACUGAAAAAUGAAUAGGUUAUUAUAUAUGACAUACCUACAAAGAAGGAAAAAUGACUUUAUAAUAAAAUGAAAAAAAUGUGACACCAAUGAUUUUGUUUCAGAAAUGAACUCCUCAGAGGAAUCGUAUGAAAAGUGAAUUUUUGAAAAGAG